rnacentral:misc_RNA from 1 species
CCUGGACAACAAUAUCUACAGCAGCAGCACCAACAGCAACAACCUCUCGCCGUCGAUCCUGCCGUUGCAGCUGUGGGCCCUAGCAUCCCUUUUGUGCCGCCUCUUUGGCAAUCAAACGGCCGUGAUGUUCUCACUCCUUCUUGGCCCCUCAAUCUUUCUUCUCCUCCUCUACUUCCUGGUUUCCUCGGGUUCCCCCAAAAUCCCUGGCCUUCUCCUGGAAGCCAAUUCCAAGGAAAUCAGCAAGGAGUCGUCGGUGAUGAUGUUCAGAGAUUAGGGUUUUCAAGUGCCGAGGUCAGAGCUAAUAAUACAAUUCAUAAUCUUGUACAUCACAAGCAGCAACUGGAGCAAAAGCUACAGUUUGGCUCGUUUCGCAGUGAUAUCCAAACCGCCGAUGGUUUAUUAGAUGCAAAUUCAAAGCUCAGCGCAGCAAAGGAGCUGGAAGUAGGAUUGGGGAUCAGAAACUUAAACGGAUUGGAAAGGAAUCCAAAAUUUGAACCACAAUUGAACUCGAAUUUAAGAACUUUCGAUUUGCGCGAGCAGGAUUCAAGAGCAGGCGGCGUUUGGGGAAAGCAACCACAUGGAGGGAGUUACAGGUCGCAGGAAACUCGAAUGCCACCUCCAGGGUUUUCAAAUAAACCAAGGGGAGGAGGAGGAGGAGGAGGAGGAGGA